GUAGUCACACUGAAGAGGCCCUAUUUGAAAAUUGAGGACCAAAGCAGAAAGUUUCGUCCUAUCAAGUAUACCUUUCUAAACUUCCCAGAAUUUUCGUUCACGUCUCCAAAUAAGAGCCUUUUCACAUUGGACCAACCACAGUGCAACCCUCACAAGGAUGGUAACCCAGGAGAACAAGAGGAAGAGCACAACCAGAAACCAAUAAUGAGG